UAUGUGAUCGUCUCUCGCAUAUCAAUAAGCGGAGGAAAAGAAACUAACAAGGAUUCCCCUAGUAACGGCGAGUGAAGCGGGAAGAGCUCAAAUUUGAAAUCUUAAAGGGUUUCCCUUUACGAAUUGUAGUUUAAAGAAGUGUUUUCUGUUGAGGUUUUGGUAAAAGUUCUUUGGAAUAGGACAUCAUAGAGGGUGAGAAUCCCGUAUUUGACCUUUACUUUCAACUUUGUGAUACACUUUCAAAGAGUCGGAUUGUUUGGGAAUGCAGUCCAAAAUGGGUGGUAAAUUUCAUCUAAAGCUAAAUAUUGGCGAGAGACCGAUAGCGAACAAGUACCGUGAGGGAAAGAUGAAAAGAACUUUGAAAAGAGAGUUAAACAGUACGUGAAAUUGUCAAAAGGGAAGCGUUUGACACCAGUGUUGUUUUUCUGAAAAUCAAUUAAAGAACUGUUUAUGCUAAGCUUGUUUAGACUUUAUCAGCUAACUGUUUAGUUUUGAGCUUUUCUUUAAUGCACUUUUCAGUUAACAAGUCAACAUCAAUUUCUUUUGCUGUAAAAAAGCUUGAGGAAGGUGGCUUGAGAUUCGUCUUAAGUGUUUAUAGCCUCUUGCCUAUGCAGUCGGAGAGAUUGAGGUCUGCAGCGUAGAUCCUUCGGGGCUAAAUGCAUUUGUGCUAAGUUAUAGCAUUUUAUAGACAACUUGUUGACUAUGAUUUGUCUUGUAGCUUACUCGCUUAUGUUAUUUUACCUACGCUUAGGAUGUUGAUAUCGCGCUCUCACUG
rnacentral:rRNA from 1 species